rnacentral:misc_RNA from 1 species
AGAAAAUUAACCAUAAAUCGCUGAAAAUCUAAUUAAAAUAAGUGUAUACUUUUAUAAUGAAUAGCAAAAUUAUAAUCCAGUUAAAACAAAAGCUGCGACAGCAAUCUCAAUCCCUUGACCAGAACCAGAAAAAUAUUCUCAAGAAAUACAGAACCAGAAAUAUUAUACCAAAACUAUGAUUAAGAACCAUUCUUUAAAAACAACAAUAUUUACCAUAAUCCCACGUACAUAAACAUUCACACCCUUUCCAGAUCUUCCACGCCAACUUCAUCUCCACAGCUUCGAGCUCUUGACGAUCUCUCCCUAGUAACCAUCCAUCGAAAAGAGCCAAAUAGAGAUCCUGAUCCACCGGCCAAGGGUGGAGCUGAGGGUUGGACCUGGGCCUGAAACUCACUACUACCCAACUCUCUUCCCACUGGCUGGACCCUUGGCUCAGCCACAGUGCGACAUAUUGGACAAGUAGUGUUUGAUCCGAGCCACAUAUCAAUGCACUCUACAUGAAACAUGUGCUUACAGUUUGGUAAAAUCCUAACCAUGGCAUCUUCCACUAUGGUUCCCAAGCAAACUGAGCACUCUAUGGGUUCACCGUGGUUAAGCUCUUGCUGGUUGGUCGGCUUAUAUGCAACCGUCGGAAACGAGGCUAUGAUCAAAGGGUCAAGCCCUACCUUAGGUGGUUCGACGGUAACAUUAGACUCCAUAUCUGGUCCAAUUUGCCUGUUUUGGCGAUGAAGGGCGGAGCGUCGCCUCCUUUCUUGGCGGUUUAGGAGAUAUCUACAGUAAAGUUGGAGAAAAACUAUCAGCAACACCACCGCGAAUAAAGAAAAGAUCGCCGCGAGCAUGAUCUUCUGGCUAUCUCCAAGUUCAUCUUUAUCAUCGUCCUUGGAACCCAUGGUUAUGGUUAAUUGCUGGCUAUAGAAUUUGUUUGAUCAUUCUAAAUUUUCAUUGAAGUCAAGCAUGUAUUAAUUGUUUACGUAUGACAAUGUGAAUUGUUGAAAUCUGCGUGU